UACGGAGGGGGCUAGCGUUGUUCGGAAUUACUGGGCGUAAAGCGCACGUAGGCGGCUUUGUAAGUUAGAGAUGAAAGCCCGGGGCUCAACCCCGGAAUUGCCUUUAAGACUGCAUCGCUUGAACAUCGGAGAGGUAAGUGGAAUUCCGAGUGUAGAGGUGAAAUUCGUAGAUAUUCGGAAGAACACCAGUGGCGAAGGCGACUUACUGGACGAUUGUUGACCGCUGGAGGUGCGAAAGCGUGGGGGAGCAA
rnacentral:rRNA from 1 species